UACAGAGGUCCCGAGCGUUAUGCGGAAUCACUGGGCUUAAAGCGUGUGUAGGUGGAUCGUUAAGUACCUUGUGAAAGCCCCGGGCUUAACCUGGGAAGUGCAUCGCAAACGACAUUGCUGGAGUAUAAGAGAGGGUGGCGGAAUUUCCGGUGUAGCGGUGAAAUGCGUAGAGAUCGGAAGGAACGUCAAUGGCGAAGGCAGCUCGCUGGGACGUUACUGACGCUGAGACGCGAAAGCGUGGGGAGCAAACAGG
rnacentral:rRNA from 1 species